AAACCCAAAAAAUAAACAAACAAAAAAACACUUCAACAACUCAACUCGGACUUCACUUGUGUCCCUCUGUCUGACACGGGCAGGUUUGCACACUGGUGGGCUUGCCAUUUGCCACACCGUACUGCGGGUUCCCCCCUUACCGGGGGGGUGACAGCCUCGACAGCCGCACCCAGCGCGAUCACCCGCCAAGGGCACGUCACAGUGUCACAACACCCAUCCCACCCAUCAGGCCACGGCCUCCCCACCCGUGUGGCGAGGAGACACCACACACCUCCUCCCAUGACCGUGAGCAUCUAAGGUGACAGGAACACGGACACACACACACAAGCCUCCUCCAACAGGCUAGUUAACAGGUGCCGAGCCAGCACAUGGCUUCCCCGGGACAGGAUUCACCAGUCCUGGCAGCAAAGCUUAACCCCCAAAGCAGCUGAACCCUGCUAAGGCCUUCCCAGCACCCUUCGGCUCUGCAACCACCUUCCGAAACCCCCUCAGCACACCCCAACGAGCUGCCUCGACCCACCACUAACCUCGGACACCGCCACCCAAACUUUCCCCCUCGCAAACAUCCCAAACGAUCACUAGAACAAACCAGACAUCCCCAGCCCGCCCCGCGCCAGGCAAGACCGGGCCCCGCACACUCCACCCCACAGCCGCCUGCACUCACCGCCAGCCGCACCCCAAUCUGCCGCCGCCACGGCCGCCCCCGCCAUUAAAGCAGGAAGCCCCGCCCCCCACCGCUGCCGAUUGGCAGAAAGUGCAGGGUUCCGCCCCCGGGAGAGCCGCAGCCAAUCGGCGUGUCCGCCGCGUCCCGCCCGGUCCGUGGCUCCGCCCACCGCGGAGGGGCGCCGCGAGCUGGCACCGGACAGAACCCAGAGACGCCGACUCUGACCGCGUGCAGUUUCCAGAGGGUUUCCAUCCUGCGGAGCCUCCACAGCCGUGCCAAUCUGCAUCCUAAAAAGUGGCCGGGACUUGACUCGAGUUCGUCUGGUCUGAAGGUGUUUUCAGAACUCACUAUUCUAAUUGUUAGGAAUCAUCUUCUCAUUUCCAGCUUAAUUUGAUGCUCGACUGGUUAAUAAACAUUUGUUCCUGUGCCAGCGUUGUAAUUUA